ensembl:snRNA U6 U6 spliceosomal RNA
CUGCUCAUUUCGGUAGUGCAUAUCCUAAAACUGGAAAGAUACCAAGAAAAUUAGACCAGCCCCUGUCCAAAGAGGACACACCCGUUGAGGGAUCAUUCCAUAUUUUU